AGCGAACGCUGGCGGCAGGCUUAACACAUGCAAGUCGAACGAUCCUUCGGGAUAGUGGCGGACGGGUGAGUAACACGUGGGAACGUGCCCUUAGGUUCGGAAUAACUCAGGGAAACUUGAGCUAAUACCGGAUGUGCCCUUACGGGGAAAGAUUUAUCGCCUUUGGAGCGGCCCGCGUCUGAUUAGCUUGUUGGUGGGUAAGGCCGUACCAAGGACUACGAUCAGUAGCUGGUCUGAGAGGANGGCCA
rnacentral:rRNA from 1 species